ensembl:lncRNA
GUGGUGAAUAGCUCUAUUCAUAAGUCAUCUUGCCCUCCCCCUCCCUCCCUCCAGUAAUGCAGUUGAGGUCUCCAGGAUACUUGUGCAACCUUGGGCAUACCACACUGAGCAGCGUGGAGAGGAGUGCAGUACAGCCCGUCCUGAGGAACAGGAGCAGCACGUAGCUCCUGCUUAUAGAGCGCAUCAGAAAAGCAGCACAUACUUCAUUUCCUUCUUCAGUGUAACCUUACUACUAGUCACCUUCUCCAAGGCCCAAUUCCUUCCGUUUCUGCAGUCUGGCUCAGUUCUGCUUCCUAUAGCAGACUUUGUGGAGGAGAAAAUGGCACUGCCUUGCUUGGACACAGAGCCAGUCGUGUGGGUUGCUCAGCUGAGUGCCUGCUGCAUGCCUCUUGUCAUGCCACUGGGGCAUGUGAUUCUGGGCUUGGGAAAGGGCUUCUUUAAGGAUUUUGAAAGCUUUUUUUUCAUUCAUUUUCUGCUGCCAUGAAGCUUGACUGCUGGAGGAACUUGGCGAAGCAGUGAGCUGCUCUGCUCGUUCCUGUUUGUUUUACCAGUGGAGAAGAAAAUGGGGGAAGUAGGAGGGAAAGCAAACAGAAGGUGGGAGGGAAUGGAUAUACAAGAGUUGAACAUAAAAACUAGAAACAUUUAAGAGGUAAAAAUGGAAGCGAAACUUCCUGAAAUUAACUUUUAUAGAAUUUUUUAAAUAAAUGUCAGUCCUGAAGGGAAUGGUUUUCAUGGCUGGUGCAACAGCAUUACCUGUCAGUGAUAGAGGCCUUGUCCAGUCAGAUGCUUCGCUCUCUCCAUUCAUACUGUUCUCCUGUGCCCUCGUCCUCAUCCACCAAGCUACUAGGAAGAAAUCUGACUGCAUCAUCCAGCUACAGCCAGGCUUUUAGAUCUUUCCACUCCCAGAAGUGCAUCAUCUCUGCUUUACAAGAAACUCUGGCCUCCUAACACAUCACCAAAGGCUGAAGGAGAUGUGAUGCCUCAGAACAGCUGGCUCUGCCCACGGAUUUGGCAGUCGCUGCUCCUCCUGGAGCCCAGGAGACCCGAGAGAAGUGCUGGAGGUACAGCUGGAAGCCCGGUGAGCACAAUUUAAGAACACUUACUAAUUCGAGACAGGAAUCUAACAUUACCUUGGGCUAAUUGUUCUGAAAUUAAUCAUCGGAAUCCAUCACCUGCCUAGGUGAUCACCAUAGCAACCGCGAAACAAACAAUAG